AUUGAACGCUGGCGGCAGGCCUAACACAUGCAAGUCGAGCGAGCGGCGGACGGGUGAGUAAUGUCUGGGGAACUGCCCGAUAGAGGGGGAUAACUACUGGAAACGGUAGCUAAUACCGCAUACUAUCGGAUGAACCCAGAUGGGAUUAGCUAGUUGGUGAGGUAAUGGCUCACCAAGGCGACGAUCUCUAGCUGGUCUGAGAGGAUGAUCAGCCACACUGGGACUGAGACACGGCCCAGACUCCUACGGGAGGCAGCAGUGGGGAAUAUUGCACAAUGGGCGCAAGCCUGAUGCAGCCAUGCCGCGUGUAUGAAGAAGGCCUUAGGGUUGUAAAGUACUUUCAGCGGGGAGGCGUUACCCGCAGAAGAAGCACCGGCUAACUCCGUGCCAGCCGCCGCGGUAAUAC
rnacentral:rRNA from 1 species